rnacentral:lncRNA from 1 species
GUUGGUGUAUUAUAUACACUAGUUAAUACUGAACUUAAAAUUUUCCAAUAGGUGGUUCAAUAAAAAAAUAAUUGCUGGUGAACGAUGGUACAUGGAAAUUAUAUACUUUUUCAGAUAUUGUCUCAAAUAUAGACCAAACAAGAAGCCGAUAUAUGGGUUAUGAUGGACAAGCACAUAACAGCCAUUACAUUCUGUGUAAAGCUCACAACAUAUGGUACAUUUGAAAUAUGGAUGGCUGUUUAACGCCCAGUGGCAAAUAAAAUGAAUAUUUAGGACGAGAAGAUGCUUAUGCGAUAAGAAUAUGAAUCUUGGUUUGUACUAGACCAACGUGAUAAGUCAGUUUUAUAGUCUGCUUGUUCAAUAGUUCAAAAGGCAGAAGUCCGCAGCACUACCAGGGCACAUUAUUCUGCUCUUACUCUUCAAUACCGCGUAUCGGCGGAGAAGCAGCAAGUAUCAAUUUUAAAGUAUGUCAGGUUUAACCCGGCCUGGAUUCGAAACCCCAACAUUCCGCUUUCGAGGAGAGCAUUCUUACGCGAGACCACUAACCUGGCGAUCAAAUUGAAGAUGAAAACGAACAAAUUGUUAAACGACAUACCCAGACAUUUAGAUAGCGGGUAUAAAAAAUAUAUUUAUCCGUAUCUUAACCGAGCGAAGGUUGAGAAUUAAUGAACAGUUUCGCCCGAGUCAACUUUAAUCCGAGAGUUUAUUCCUCUUUAGGUUCGUUAUCAUCUAUACUGUUUACAUUACAAGUAAAUAUCCUUUCACAAUGUUGUGUAACUACGGAUGAAGAAUCGAUUUGUGGAAUUAUAAACAUCCUACGUAUUAGAUUAGGUUUUUUACCAGGGGAAACUGUAGGUACAUAUAAAAGACUUCUUCUUA